UUAAACGCACGGUUACAUAUGGAUGCGCACUAAUAUUACAUCAGAGUCCAGCUGUUUGUGUAGUUAUCAAACGAAGAUGCUCCACAACGUGCUGUGCAUGUUUAUGUAUGGGCUUUUUCGGUUAUUUUGAUCCAGCAGAUGAAAUGAGCUCACACAACUCUUGUGUACUCGCAAAAUGAGACAAUGGAAAAAGCGAGGAGAGCAGCCACUUUUGUUUCUGCAGUGUUAGCCGCAAGACCUCGCCGAACGAUGUGGACUCACGCCAGAAGUCAGGACUGGUGGAAGAAUAUUGUGCUCAGUACGUUUACUGAUGACCAGUGACUUGAACAUUUUCGUAUGCGACGACACGCAUAUAAUGCCAAACAAAGCCACUGUGCACCGCCAGUUUAUUAAUUUGCCUAAAGGAGAGAAGCUUCAGGCAAUCGUUGAAGGCUUUAAGGACAGAUGGGUUUUUCCUCAGUGUGCAGGAGCAAUUGAUGGAUCUCGUAUACCCAUCACCCCUCCUUUUGAAGAUGCUAAGGACUAUUUCAACUGAAAAGGGAGCUAUUCCAUCAUAUUACAGGCUGUCAUCGAUCACAAUUCACUGUUUACCAAUAUCGAUGUGGGAUGGCCUGGCAGUGUGCAUGAUGCCCGAGUGCUACGGAACUCCACCCUGUUUCACCUUGCAGAGAAUGGCAACCUGUUUGCAGCAGACACACAGGAAAUUGAGGGUGUAAAUGUCCCCAUUAUGCUUCUUGGAGACCCAGCAUACCCACUCUUGAGCUGGUUGAUGAAGGGAUUUCCAGACACUGGUAAUCUGUCUAGAGAACACAGGCGCUUCAGCUACCGUUUGAGCCGUGCAUGCUUGACUGUGAAAUGUGCAUUUGGGCAGCUGAAGGGGGAGGUGGAGAUGUUUGCUGAAGAGAAUGGAAAUAUGUAUAUCACGGGUUCUGACCAUUAUGAGCAGCUGCUGUGUCCUUCACAACUUGUGUGCAUUGCACACUGACAAUUUUUUGGAUGCAGGAUGUGGAGGAGACUGUUGAACUGAAUGCACCUGACUUUCCAAUGCCACAUGAGAGAGCAGAACAGCCAUUGCAUGUUAGACAGGCACUUUCACGUUAUUUCUCCAGACAGAGUUGUAACUACUGAGUUCGUUGAACACUACAGUUAAAUAAGAAAUUUUAUUUUACUUUACUGAGUUUUUUUUUCUUGUUACUGUUUUAUGUUAUCCAUGACAAUAAAGUUGCAUAAAAGGGUCUGUUUUA